CAGUAAAAAAUGUGGUGUUAAUAUUUCAGUGUAAACUUAAUUUAAUCUAAAUAGAGUAUUUAUAACUAUAUGGAGUGUAAAUCGGCUCUGGUGUUGGAGUUAAAAGUCAGAGUAAAAUGCUACAUUCACGCAGUGAAUCUUUUGACUCUGUCAAGUGUCAAUAACGCGCCAAUAAAGAGUUUUGGCAACCGCGAAGAGGAGAAGGAGGAGGAAGAAAGAAGACGAAGCAGCAGUUUUCUGAAGUUCGUGAGACGGCCACUUCCAUUUUGGAUUCUGAACGGAGUUGUGCUACAGAAAAAACCAUGCUACUACGUGUUUUGUUUGGUGGGGAGCAGAAGUACGUGAAACUUUCUGACCUAACAUUUGAUGCAUUCGUGAGAGAAGUGUGCCUGAAAUUUAAAAUUCCAGAAGGCAGACAGCAGGAUCUGAAGGUGUAUGACCAGUCUGAUACAGAAGUUGAUGUAGAUGUUUUUGAAGAAAUAGUGCAUCAGUCACCUGGAACUUUUUGAGUUAUGUUGAGCAACAAAGAAGAUCCUGGUGCUGUUCUAUCAUCAUCGUCAUCUUCAGUGACAUCUGAUGACACUAUCAUUCUGAAUUUCACAACGUGUGACCCAUCAGAAGAAGAAGCCACUGCUGAAGGAAGUCAACCUAAAAGGCCAUGUCACAUAAAUUAUGAGGCACAAGCAUUGAUUGAAAAAAUCUUGACAACAAAGCCUGGUGGUGAGCGUAUCAUGCAAGAGUAUGCAAGAACUAAAAGCUUGACAGAUGCAACCAGAAGACAGAUGAUAAACAUCCUUACAGCUGCAAUGACAGAAGCACAUGGAUCAUCCCCUCCUAAAAGCGUCAGAGUGAUGUAUGCUCAGGGGAUCGUUGCCCUAUUUCCCUAUCUGGAAGACCCGCUUUCAAAACAUGGAUAUGAGCAUUACUAUGAUCCAGAGAGCGGUUCAGGAUACCUUGCAUGGCGUUUAAAGACCAUUCAAAGAAAAACUGCAGAGGAACGGGGUGCCUCAGGUAGCAAAUCUCCCAAAAGUGGUGGACCAGGCCAUGUUCACUCCAGGGUUUCCACUGCUGACAAAGUGCUGUCAGAUGUGGAAGUGGAAGCAGCUAUUGCUGUUUUGAAACACUGCUGAUGAUGAAACGGUCCGUGAGAAGAUGAAGGCCACCUUCCAUUACCGUCAUUCAAUGGUCAAUGAUGAAAAGAAAGCAGAGAAUGUCUUCUCUGUCUUUCCACGGUUUCUGGACACACCAGGACUGAUAGAACAAGAUUUCAGACUCCUGUUUGGUGAAGGCACUGCCAACAAAUUUUUUGAGAAGUGGCCCACCUGUCUCAAAUCCAAGGUCAUAAAGGAAAGCCAUGGCCUGGUACCCACCACUGAGCUCGUGGAUUUAUUGCGGAAUGCAGAGUUGGCUGCUGAAGCUGAGAAUGGUUGGGAUAGUGAUAUGUCUGAUAUUUUGCUUCUGCUGCAUCUGCUACCACCAUCUGCACAAGGACGAAAGAGGCCGGGUAAGAUGUCUGCAUCUCAAGCAGUGGAUCACCUCAUCAGAUUUCUAAAGGUUGGAACCAGUGUGCAGCAGCAUCUUGACAAAAUCAGCCAGCGUACCCAGCCCUACCUCCUGGCCCAUGGCUCCAUCCAAAGCAGUAUUCAUGCAUUCUUCAUUGUGAUUGACAACUAUGCUAUUCCAUGUAAGGCAACGUGUUCAGUU